AACACACACAACUGAGCUCCACACACACACUGUACAACACACAGCCUUGGCAGUCAUCAUUAAACAGCGUAAUUUGCAUAAUGCAUAUACUGCAGCUUCUUUGUCAUAAGUCUCACUACUUCCAGGCGUCAGCACCACAUUGUGGCUGCAUUUUGUGCUAAUUACACCCAAACAAACAAAUCACAACAAACUGAGCUGACAAGAGGGUUGAUGGGAGCUCACAGCCUGCUGAUGGCUUAUAUUUUAAGAAAUUCUUUUUAUAGAUUCCUAGCGACAAGUUUUAUGCAAACAGUGUCACAGGCAAAAGAUAAAAGAUUCACACAGAAUCAAAAACACACACACACAAAGCUUAUCUAUUCUGAGAAAAUCUACUUUUAUUUUCUAUAGACCACAUGUAUGAUAAAAUAAUGGAUACAGAGUACUGUACUCUUCAUAAUCAAAUACUUUUAAUUUAGAGCUAAAACAAGUACAUCCAUAUCAACCAAACUCCAAUCACUAAACAAGAGUCAGACUGCCUUGCUCCAGGGAUUAGAGUCAGAGAAGAACCUUUCCACUGUUUGUACUAUUCUCAAUCCAAAUAGUUGUAAAAUGUUAUUUUUUAACCACUGUAAUUUCCCAUUUCAAUGUUUUCAUUACAUUAUAUCCUCAAUAUUCCUCAACAAAGAAACUGUUUUGGUAUGGUUAUAAAUACUAAUGUGUAUUAGGACUUCAUUUGGAUCCGCAGGAUUUUAUACAGCGUGAAAAUUGUUUUUUUUAUGUCAGUGAUCACAAAGUCUUGAAGUAUCUGCUGGUUUAUUAAGAAAAAAUACCAUACAAGUUUGGGCAUUAAACAAGUCCUCUUACAUGACUGAACUGUUACACUGUUGAAUUGAUUAAUGAUACUACUAGAAAAUGGUUCCUAAAGCCAAUGGUCUAAAGGGUCUUCUUCUAAAGGUGUUCAGGCUUACAACAAAAGGUGAGACAGGCAAAGGUCAAAACAGGCAAGCAGUCCAAUUAGGCAACAAAAUCCAAAUGGGAAUGAACAAGAAUCCAAAAGAAGGCAGAAAUUCAAAAACACAUGGACACACUAGGAAAAGGGUUGGACCCCUUGACAUGAGGACAACAACAGACAAAGGGAAAUAAGUGAGGGGAGGCUAACUAGACACAUGUGAAACUAAUUAGGACAGGACAGACAAUCAAAACAGGUGGGAAACACACAAAGGCAGAAGGUGAAAUUAAAGACACAUGAGGAAGCAAACUUACAAAAACAACCAUUUCUACUAACUCAGUCAUAUCCAAGCAGAUAGAUUUUGUUUAAUUUCAAAAGAUUUUAAAAUCUUUUCUUUGUUUCUAUCUCAGUACAAUGGAGGGGAACUGAAUAGUUUGUGGUGCAUAUCAUUUGAGAAAUUCAACUGUCCCUGUCACUCUGUUGCCAUUGGAAGCAGGAAAAAGAAAACAGUAAGAUAGCAGGAUAUACCAACUCGGGCUCCUGCCAGAGGCUGCAGACUGGCAUUUCAGCUGAUUGGCACUGCAGGCGGUUAACACGGCAGCACAUACAGGAUGUUAAUGGGAACCACAGCCCGGGGAUACACUCACAUUCUGGACUCAUUGUGUGUGUGUAAUUGGUGGCUACUUUCUGACAUUUGUGUGCAAGACUAUUUUCCAAGCAGACAUUUGAGAAUUAUUAAAAUGUGUGUCAAUGUG